GCAGUUUUGUGCUGAUGUAAAUCCAACUUCCAGACUACAUUUUGUAUUCAAUUUUCUUUGCUUAAAACUGAAGAAAGUAAGCUGACAAUCUGGCGUGCCUCAGAAAAAGAUCACAGAUCAAGAGCAUUGGCCAAAGAAUUAAGAGAAAGAAGAAGGCUGUCAGGUGCUUUCUACCACUUUCAGGCCAUCAGAGCAUGUGUGUGGGAAAGAGACAUAGUCCUGUCCACCAGAGGUAACCAUUUCCAAGCAUCAUCGGGCAGUGGCUCUAACUGCCUCUCUCCUCACGGAGUCUAAUUGAGCUCAUGCAACUAAACCUCUACCUAGUACUUUGGAACUCAGGAAUAUUUCCAGAAGACACCUCAACAUGAAGGAAUGGUGAUGUACAAUAUUUAUAAGAGGAAAAAUGCAUUUUUUCAUUUGGUCACUGAU
rnacentral:lncRNA from 1 species